AACGAACGCUGGCGGCAUGCCUAACACAUGCAAGUCGAACGAAGUCUUCGGACUUAGUGGCGCACGGGUGCGUAACGCGUGGGAAUCUGCCCUUGGGUGCGGAAUAACUUCUCGAAAGGGAUGCUAAUACCGCAUAAUGUCGUAAGACCAAAGAUUUAUCGCCCAAGGAUGAGCCCGCGUAAGAUUAGCUAGUUGGUGGGGUAAAAGCCUACCAAGGCGACGAUCUUUAGCUGGUCUGAGAGGAUGAUCAGCCACACUGGGACUGAGACACGGCCCAGACUCCUACGGGAGGCAGCAGUGGGGAAUAUUGGACAAUGGGCGAAGGCCUGAUCCAGCAAUGCCGCGUGAGUGAUGAAGGCCUUAGGGUUGUAAAGCUCUUUUACCCGGGAUGAUAAUGACAGUACCGGGAGAAUAAGCCCCGGCUAACUCCGUGCCAGCAGCCGCGGUAAU
rnacentral:rRNA from 1 species